rnacentral:rRNA from 1 species
GACGAACGCUGGCGGUGUGCUUAACACAUGCAAGUCGAACGGAAAGGCCCUGCGUGUGUGGGGUGCUCGAGUGGCGAACGGGUGAGUAACACGUGAGUAACCUGCCCUAGACUUUGGGGUAACUUCAGGAAACUGGGGCUAAUACCGGAUAGGAGCUCCUGCUGCAGGGUGGGGGGUGGAAAGUCUCGGCGGUCGGGGCUGGACGCGCGGCUGAUCGGCUUGUUGGUGGGGUAGUGGCUGACCCAGGCUUUGACGGGUAGCCGGCAGGUGAGGGUGACCGGCGACAUUGGGACUGAGGUAGGGCCCAGAGUCCAACGUUGGGCAGCGGGCGGAAAUAUUGCACAAUGGGCGGACGCCUGAUGCAGCGACGCCGGGUGUGGGAUGACGGCCUUUGGGUUGUAAACCGCUUUCGCCUGUGACGCAGCGUGAGUGACGGUAAUGGGUAAAGAAGCACCGGCUAACUACGUG